UUCUGGCUGGCGGGUCAGUUCCGGAAGAAAAACAUUCCUGUUACAGCUUUGGCCUGCCCUUUGGUUCACCUGUGCUACUGGAAACAAAACCAGGCUUGGAAACCAGGGUUCAACCAAUGUUUCUAAAGGAGCCUAGCGUUCAGGUAAAGAAAGACACUCUCCAGGAAACAACACUGACCCGAUGACAAGAGCCACACAAAACCUCGGAAGAGAGGGUGGGAUGUAGCAGCACGUGACCAAAUCAACGAACACGCCAAAGUGCAGCCUGUGGUUCCACACCAAUGAAAGAAGGGCAAGGUUUCCCUGGCAUCUGGCACCGGGCACCUGGGAGGGGCUCACGCCGUGGCACGCGAGGGGCUGCGAGAUUGGACUUCAAGAGUGUGCUGCCGGGGAAGGAGGGCACAGCACAGCGGUCGGUUUGCAGGAUGGCAAGUACUGUGUUCCUAUAGUUGCUUCUAAGGAGUCUUUAAAUGUUUCUGGAAAGACGGAAAGAAAAAAAGAAAAAAGGCAGGGCAUGCUCCAACUGCACAGUAGCCGCUCAGGGUUAAGCCUCUCGGUUCCGUCCACCUGGACCCGGGACGCGGUCAGCACGAGGGGCCGGGCAGCAGCAGAGCGCGCGCAGCGGGGACAACGGUUUGAACUGGGGCGGGGGGUGCUGACCCCCAGAGGCCUAUAAAUACACUGGGCGUCGGCGCUGGAAGCCGCCCCCCUGCGCCAGGGCCCAGCCACCCCACAAACCUGGGGCAGGGAUUCUUUGUUGGCAGGAGGCUUCGAUCUGACGCGGGACCCCCAAGGGGCCAGGACUAAGGACAAGUGUGAGCACCUGGGGAAAGGAAACGGCCAGGAGCUGGAGGCAAGAGCCCGUCCCUUGACUCCCCUUCGAAGAGAUCCCCUGAGGCCAUUUCCUGGGUGCAGACCCCAGACUCCUCUCUCCUUGGCCAAGAAUCCAGAGGACGUGGAAGGCCGAGCCCCACGCCCCCUUGCUUCCCCGCUCCCCUUGCCUCGGGCCACUGGCCUUCUCGUACUUACCGGGGCCCAGGGGCCUGUCUUCCUUGCUAGCGUCCUCUUCCCUCCCAGCCCCCUCCUCACUUCACGUCCCCUCCUCCAGGGGCCGCGGCCAUGUCCGUUGCUGGCAACUCUAAGGGGGCUUGCCUCCUUUCUCGGACAACAGAGACGCCGCUAGCAAGCCAACGUUCUGGGCACUGAUUGGUUGAAAUCCGAGACGGGUGGGGAUUUCUGGCUUCUUAUUGGCUGCGAUGCGCGCUAGACUGUAGCUGAAACUGUCCCUCUGGGAGCCUGGCGGAAUUAAACGCCGAGGGAUGCGGGAGGGAGAGUAAGGAACCGCUGUCCAUCCUUGGGUAUGUUGCUCUGGUGCUUUCAGGUCCAGAGGUCCUGACUAGGGGCGAGGGCACGGCUUCCACCUCAAUUACUUUUCCUACAAAAUUAUCCAAAAAAGAUGGACAGAGUCCCGUCCCCGACGCCUUCUUUCUUUUAAAAAUCAGCCCUUUUGCAGAGCGCCCGCAUCUACUUCUUCUAAGUUCCCUUCUUGUUGCUGUGAACAAAUGCCUGGAGACAUCUAGCUCGGAGUCUCUGGAGGGACCCCCUCAGAGACUAAUACCGCAACCAAACCAAAGCUGGAGAAUCUAAGGCAAUACUUGAGUUUUCCCUUCAACUCAGCUGUACUCUAAAGGGAAAAACAAGUUAAAAAAAUUUUUUCCCUAGAUAGAGAAAUCGUCUAGGAGAGCUCCCUGGGGAAAACAAAGCAAGCCUGUGUCAGUAUUUACUUCUGCUUUCCCAGAGAUGGAAGUCUGGAGGCUUGGUUUUUGUGUUUUGUUUUUCAAUCUGUUUAUAAAAUCAGAAGAGGGUCAUAGCUGGCCCUGGGAAGUAAGAGCCCCUUUCCCCUGUUAAUGAAUUUAAUUAUGUAAUUAAAAUCUCUCUUCUGAAGA